rnacentral:rRNA from 1 species
GACGAACGCUGGCGGCGUGCCUAACACAUGCAAGUCGAACGAGCGGCGGACGGGUGAGUAAUGUAUGGGGAUCUGCCCGAUCGAGGGGGAUAACUACUGGAAACGGUGGCUAAUACCGCAUACUAUCGGAUGAACCCAUAUGGGAUUAGCUAGUCGGUGGGGUAAAGGCUCACCUAGGCGACGAUCUCUAGCUGGUCUGAGAGGAUGAACAGCCACACUGGGACGGAGACACGGCCCAGACUCCUACGGGAGGCAGCAGUGGGGAAUAUUGCACAAUGGGCGUAAGCCUGAUGCAGCCAUGCCGCGGGUAUGAAGAAGGCCUUAGGGUUGGAAAGUACUUUCAGCGGGGAGGCGUUACCCGCAGAAGAAGCACCGGCUAACUCCGUGCCAGCAGCCGCGGUAAUUC